rnacentral:rRNA from 1 species
AGAGCUCAAAUUUAAAAUCUGAUGGUCAAUUUGGCUGUCCGAGUUGUAAGUUAGAGAAGCGUUAUCCGCGCUGGCCUGUGCAAAAGUCUCUUGGAAAAGGGCAUCAUAGAGGGUGACAAUCCCGUCUUUGGCACAGAUCACCAGGGCUUUAGUGAUGCGCUCUCGAUGAGUCGAGUUGUUUGGGAAUGCAGCUCUAAAUGGGUGGUAAAUUCCAUCUAAAGCUAAAUAUUGGCGAGAAACCGAUAGCGCA